rnacentral:rRNA from 1 species
CGUAGGGUGCGAGCGUUAAUCGGAAUUACUGGGCGUAAAGCGUGCGCAGGCGGUUUAGUAAGACAGGCGCGAAAUCCCCGGGCUCAACCUGGGAACUGCGCUUGUGACUGCUAAGCUAGAGUACGGCAGAGGGGGGUGGAAUUCCACGUGUAGCAGUGAAAUGCGUAGAGAUGUGGAGGAACACCAAUGGCGAAGGCAGCCCCCUGGGUCGAUACUGACGCUCAUGCACGAAAGCGUGGGUAGCAAACAGGAUUAGAUACCCUGGUAGUCCACGCCCUAAACGAUGUCAACUAGGUGUUGGGAGGGUAAAACCUUUUAGUACCGGAGCUAACGUGUGAAGUUGACCGCCUGGGGAGUACGGCCGCAAGGUUA